ACUAUUCACUUUUCUUUCAUUGAGAUAUUUGACACCAACGUUUUAGAAGACCAAAUUUGUAUUUCCUAUGGGUAGUAAGAUUCCAAGAAACCACCAUUAACGAAAGCAUUUUAGCUUAUGUUAAACCUCAUCAAAACAAGUCAACAAUAAUCCAAGAAAUGAAUAAAGGGCAAUAUAACAUAAUUAUGUGGAGAAAAGGUUGGGUUUCUGCUCUUCCAAAUGCACAUUACACCUACGCAA
rnacentral:lncRNA from 1 species